rfam:Triticum aestivum genome assembly, contig: Triticum_aestivum_CS42_TGACv1_scaffold_503198_6BL
AAAGUACUCCCUCCGUCCCAAAAUUCUUGUCUUAGAUUUGUCUAGAUACGGAUGUAUCAAAUCACAUUUUAGUAUUAGAUACAUCCGUAUCUAGACAAAUCUAAGACAAGAAAUUUGGGACAGAGGGAGUAGUUG